UGUUCUGUAGCUUAGUUGGUUAAAGCGCCGGUCUAGUGAAUACGGAGUCGUGGGUUCAAAUCCCACCAGAACCG
rnacentral:tRNA from 1 species